AGUGAACGCUGGCGGUAGGCCUAACACAUGCCAGUCGAACGGCAGCACAGUAAGAGCUUGCUCGUACGGGUGGCGAGUGGCGGACGGGUGAGGAAUACAUCGGAAUCUACUUUUUCGUGGGGGAUAACGUAGGGAAACUUACGCUAAUACCGCAUACGACCUACGGGUGAAAGCAGGGGAUCUUCGGACCUUGCGCGAUUGAAUGAGCCGAUGUCGGAUUAGCUAGUUGGCGGGGUAAAGGCCCACCAAGGCGACGAUCCGUAGCUGGUCUGAGAGGAUGAUCAGCCACACUGGAACUGAGACACGGUCCAGACUCCUACGGGAGGCAGCAGUGGGGAAUAUUGGACAAUGGGCGCAAGCCUGAUCCAGCCAUACCGCGUGGGUGAAGAAGGCCUUCGGGUUGUAAAGCCCUUUUGUUGGGAAAGAAAAGCAGCAGGUUAAUACCCCGCUGUUCUGACGGUACCCAAAGAAUAAGCACCGGCUAACUUCGUG
rnacentral:rRNA from 1 species